GUGCUUCUAGAUUUAAUCAAAUAUGGAAAGAAGUUUUAAAAGAGUUAUUAAAUAGGAUAGGAAUUGGUAAAACCAGUUUUAAGGCUUGCAUUAGAAUAUGUUGGGUUUAUUAUUUGUUUGUUAGAUAUUUUUAUGUAUAUAUAUAUUUCAUGUUGCUGUCUGAUUAAAAUACAUAUACUGUGUCCAACCUUGGAUUAUGGAAUCUGAAAACAUUUUCAGGUAUAAUUUUGAAUAAUGUUCAAACUAACAUAUUUAAUCAACUCAUUUUUUUUAUUCUUAAAAUCAGUUGCAGUUAAGGUGUCAUACCACCAAUUACUCCCGCAAAUUUAGAACGUAUGUGAAAGUAGGCCUACUCGGACAAAAAAUAGUGCAUUUGUUGUCAUUGUUCACCUAAACUAACCAACAAAUAUGCAGAAAUGAAACUUUUGUUGAAAGAGAAAUAUAUUAAGACCAUUUUGAGCCAAAAUUUACCUGUCUAUGAGUUUGCAUUAAAAAUUGAGGAUUAAUGCGCUCCAUAGUAUACUAAUUUAAGAUUUCCAGAAAACCAGGGGUUAUUUUUAGUGGUACCUCCUUUCGGAAGCUCUCUUCUUUCUUAUAUGAUUUUGAAUGUAUGUUGAAAAUUGGCAUGCAGAAAGGUAACACCUGUACGAUUCAGGAUAUACCUAGUUUCUAUGAAGUUAAAAGUAAGGUAAAAUAUUUAGAAAGCUGGAAAAAUUGCAAAAUUUGGUUGAACAGAUAGGGACUUUUAAUUGGUGGUAUGACACCUUUAAGCAAAAUGCGAUGAAACAUCAAAAUCAGAAAACAAUUGUUUUUUUUGGUCUUAACUGAUCAUUUGAGAUAAUAGUAGCUACAUUUCAAUCUUUUUGGGGGCAAAAUGUCACAUAAUGCAAAUUUAGAGCCUAAAACUUGAGUUUGUGCUAUUUUUAGCUUUUCCCACCCUGACAAUAUGCUUUUAUAUAAAAAAUGUAUUAAAUAAUGUUAUAAAUGCACAGAAAGUUAUUCUGUGGUGUUAAACAUUGAAACAUAGGUUGUUUACUACCCCCAAACAAAUUUUGUCAUGCAGAUUUAAAGAAAUUAUUUGAUUUUUACCCCUUAUAUCAUUGCGUCAUACUAUAUACUUGACAGAUAGCAUAGCCCAAUGUAAACACUGCAGAAACUAACAAAAGUACCAUUUAUUAUUCAAAAUGAAAUUUUAUAUCUUAAAUUUUAUUAACUGAUGUAAAUAAACACAGUUAAAUGACCAUGACUGCACUUUUGAUCAAUUUGUAGUUCUUUACUGACACCAGAUGAAAAAAAAGGGGGGGGUCAAUAUUCCUUGACACUUAAAUACCUUGGAUUAUUUACUAAAUUCAUUGCAAAAAUUGUGGAAAGUCUUUAAAGUAGUAGAACAAACGAGGAAAAAUUAGCAAAAACUGAUCUUGAUAUUGAAAGUUUAUGUUCCUGUAGCCCAAAAUGAAAUUUUCAAGUAUUUUCUAUCAAAGUCAUACAUUACAGUCAGUUUAAAUUGAGCUGUGAAAUUUUUAAUAUAAGUCGCAUAAUGCUCAGAUAUGCUGUUUUUAACUACAAAUUGACUUAGGAUUAAGAAUAAAGAAGAAUAAAAGAUUUCUAAUCAACUUUUUUGUCUCUUUAAUUUAUGCAAUUUUUAUCUUCAUAUUAAGAUUGAAACUUUUUUCUAUUUUAUAAAACCCCUGUCUAUGACAUCCAUUAUAAAACCC
rnacentral:lncRNA from 1 species